rnacentral:rRNA from 1 species
CCGAAAGUGGUCUAAUACUUCAUAAUAUCCAUCUCGUAUGGAUUAAAGCUUUAUGCGCUUUGGGAGGGGCCUGCGUAACAUUAGCUUGUUGGUGAGGUAAAAGCUCACCAAGGCUUCGAUGUUUAACUGGUUUGAGAGGAUGACCAGUCACACUGGGACUGAGAUACGGCCCAGACUCCUACGGGAGGCAGCAGUAAGGAAUCUUCCACAAUGGGGCAACCCUGAUGGAGCAAUACCGCGUGCAGGAUGAAGCGUUUCGGCGUGUAAACUGCUUUUAUCACCGAAGAUUAUGACUGUAGGUGAAGAAUAAGGACCGGCUAACUACGUG